CCGCCCAUAGCUCAUUUGGUAGAGCAGCUCCCUUUUAAGGAGUUGGUGGUUGGUUCGAAUCCAACUGGGCGGA
rnacentral:tRNA from 1 species